rnacentral:rRNA from 1 species
AAUGAACGCUGGCGGUAUGCCUAACACAUGCAAGUCGAACGACAGCACAGUAAGAUCUUGCUCUUACGGGUGGCGAGUGGCGGACGGGUAACAAAUACAUCGGAAUCUUCUUUUUCGGGGGUGAUAACGUAGGGAAACAUACACUAAUACCGCAUAUAUCCUACGGGUGAAAGCAGGGGAUCUUCUGACCUUUCGCGAUUGAAUGAGCCGAUGUCGGAUUAGAUAGUUGGCUGGGUAAAGGCCCACCAAGGCGACGCUCCGUAGCUGAUCUGAGAGGAUGACCGGCAACAUGGGAAAUGAGAACCGGUCCAGAUCCUUACGGAAGGCAGAGGUGGGGAAUAUUGGAAAAGGGGCGCAAGCCUGCUCCAGCCAUACGGCGUAGGUGAAGAAGGCCUUCGGGUUGUAAAGACUUUUUGUUGGGAAAGAAAAGCGGCAGGUUAACAACCCGCUGUUCUAAGGGUACCAAAAGAAUAAGCACCGGUUAACUCGGU